rnacentral:siRNA from 1 species
CACGAACUUAUCGUCCCAGGCAAA